rnacentral:rRNA from 1 species
GCUUAGCCUUAAACUCUUAAUUACACCACAAACGCCCGGGAACUACAAGCAAAGCUUGAAACCCAAAGGACUUGACGGUGCCCCACAUCCCCCUAGAGGAGCCUGUCCUAUGACCGAUAACCCCCGUUAAACCUCACCCUCUUUAGCACACUCAGUCUGUAUACCUCCGUCGUCAACUUACCACAUGAGUGACUUUUAGUAAGUUUAAUGUCCUUACUCGUCAACACGUCAGGUCAAGGUGCAACUAAUAAGAGGGGAAGAGAUGGGCUACACUCUCUAUUCUAGAAUAUACGGAGAACUAAUAUGAAAGCUAGUUCAAAGGUGGAUUUAGCAGUAAAAGGGGUCAGAGAGCCCCUUUUAACCCGGCACUGGGGUGUGUACACACCGCCCGUCACCCUCUUCGUAGCACUGGUUUAAGUACAUAACCCAACUCCGCAUCGUAGAAGAGGUAAGUCGUAACAUGGUAAGUAUACCGGAAGGUGUGCUUGGAAC